rnacentral:rRNA from 1 species
UACGAAGGGUGCAAGCGUUACUCGGAAUUACUGGGCGUAAAGCGUGCGUAGGCGGUUUGUUAAGUCCGUUGUGAAAGCCCUGGGCUCAACCUGGGAAUUGCAUUUGAGACUGCAUAGCUAGGGUGCGGAAGAGGGAAGCGGAAUUUCCGGUGUAGCGGUGAAAUGCGUAGAUAUCGGAAGGAACACCAGUGGCGAAAGCGGCUUCCUGGUCCAGCACCGACGUUCAGGCACGAAAGCGUGGGGAGCAAACAGG